CUGCACCCUCAGGCUCUUCUGUCUGUGGGAGUCAUUUCACCCUUCCUGGGGAACAGAUACAUCGCUGAGCUAUUUCGUGUUAUUUUUCAACCUAAUGAAUACCACACACAUGACUUGCGAAUGUGCGCGGUGCUAGCGGUUGACCGUACCAAGAGGAGGGAAGAGACUCCUGCUGACCUUUGUUACAAGGACAAUGAGAAACAAGAAGCACCCACCACAAGGGCGCAGAGACAUGGGCAAGAAAUUCAUUUUGUAUCAAGGGCCAAUACCUGUUUCCACAAGAAAAAAUGUUCACAGGAAAACAUGGUGUGCAUGGGCUGGUAAGAUGCAAACUGAGCCUCAACUUCUCCAGCCACCAAGACCCAUGUGACUGAGGACAUCAGUAAUUUCCUCCACCAGAUGAACCUCCCUCAAUGUGAUGUUUUUUAAAACUUUCUAUUAUAUAAAUUGGAAAAUUUUGAAAACUCAAAAGUCACAAUUGUUUGACUUUCACUUCUUUCAAGCCUUUUGGGGACUCUUUUGCAAGAAUUGCCCUUUCCACUUAAUUAUUACACCACAUAUAUAGUUCCCCAAAUUACAUUUAGUGCUUUCCAAAUUGAUACCAUUGAGUGACUUUGUAUCACUGAUGUCUAAACCACCUGUCAUGGCGA
rnacentral:lncRNA from 1 species